rnacentral:rRNA from 1 species
UUCCAGACUCCUACGGGAGGCAGCAGUGAGGAAUAUUGGUCAAUGGGCGGAAGCCUGAACCAGCCAAGUCGCGUGAGGGAAGAAGGCCCUGCGGGUCGCAGACCUCUUUGGACGGGGAGCAAGGCCGCCGACGUGUCGGCGGAAGGAGAGUACCCGUAGAACAAGCAUCGGCUAACUACGUGCCAGCAGCCGCGGUAAUACGUAGGGGGCGAGCGUUAUCCGGAUUCACUGGGUGUAAAGGGAGCGUAGACGGCCAUGCAAGCCAGGGGUGAAAGCCCGGGGCCCAACCCCGGGACUGCCCUUGGAACUGCAUGGCUGGAGUGCGGGAGGGGCAGGCGGAAUUCCUGGUGUAGCGGUGAAAUGCGUAGAUAUCAGGAGGAACACCGGCGGCGAAGGCGGCCUGCUGGACCGCGACUGACGUUGAGGCUCGAAAGCGUGGGGAGCGAACAGGAUUAGAUACCCCUGUA